CACCGGAUUAUCGCGGACAGGGGGAGGGGACGCGGUGCAGGAGAAUUGCCCCAUAGAAUAGGCAGGAAUCCUGGCUGCUCGGGAAGGCAAAGUUUAUUGAAGAACUUGAAAAUUCCUCUUUGAAGCAUCUUCUGAAAUACCGGAGAAGACAUGAAAAGGGUAAUGACUCAGAAUAUGGGCUUAGUGCACAAAUCCCCGCGCUGACGGACUCCAGGCCUGCAGACGCUUAAGCACAUGCUUAAAUUUAAGCUCAGGCAUAAGUGUUUGUAGGAUUGGAGCCCAGAUUUUUAUUGCGACGAGGCUCCUCUCUGCAGUGAUGGGAAAUACAAGACUUAUGAAGCGCACGAGCUUCCAGCACGAUGCAGUGCACAGAGCGCCCACUUCAAGCCAGGGGACACCCAAAUCUGUCUCUGCAUAGGGACACCAACACGUGGGUGGUGAAGAGCAGUGCAGGCAGGAAAGGCGCAGGGACAGCAUAGAGCAACUCAGUGCCACACAGCUCCUCUCCAGGUGCUCUUUGCAUAAACGUACACCUGCUUUUCCUGCACAAUAGGGCUCCUGUGAGAUCCUCCCUGCUCCUUCUCUGUCCCUGAACAUGUUCUGCAAGGCAAAAUCGCUUUUUUUCCUCCUCCUUUUUCCCAUUUACAUAAGACAGCUGCCCAAUGGGCAGUAGCACCUGUCCCCAUGCUCAGAUCUAGAUCACUGUUUUUCAGUUAUCUUUAGGGCUGGAUGGAUUUGUGUGCGUGGGAUACGGGUGCUUGGUGGGGCUGACCCUCACCAUAAGAGGGUGCAAGACCCAUGGUGCUGCUGCCCCCACGGAUUCCCAUUGCAUCUCCCAGAUCCAGAGAUGUAAAGGCAAGGGUGCCCAUAGCAGCCACGUUCACUCUUGGGUUUGGUACCGCUGUUGGCUGCCACUGGAGGGCAUUAUAUGAUACGGGCACAGUGUUAUGUGCCCACUUUGUACCUCCCCCAAAGGCAGGCAGGUGCAUGGGGUGUGGGAAGAACACAUUUCCUUCUCCACCUUUCCAUCCAAAUGCCCGUGCUAGGGGGUGUUUGUGACAGCAACCAUGGGGAGGGGACAGCCCAGUGGUGGCUCUGGAGCACUUGCUGCGAUACCUCAGCGCAUCGCCAGCCCCUCCCAACGUGCCUGUGCAGCAGCCCAGAGCGAGCUGGAGGAUUUUCUCCAAAGCCAGAGGUUAAUUAUCCUUUAUUGGAUAAUUUUCAGCUGCCAGUCCUGGCGAUGAAGGGGAUUUCCUCUAGAUGGCACGCUUAUCUCUGCACAGCGAGCGGUGCUGGCAGCCCGCAGCCUGCAAUGCAGUGGGGUCCUGAGCCUGCGGUUGGUCCUGGGGACAAAGAGCAUUAAGCCCUCAUCCCACUCCCAUCCCCAGCUGCAGCCCAGCCGCUGCCCUGCUGGACCCAAGCGAUGUAUUUUCAGUGGGUUAUUUUACCCCGAUGUUUUUUGCCCUCUUAUAACGCAAUUGGAAGUUGGCAUCUAGGCUGUGGGUUAGGGGGAUGCGGUUGGCUGGGCGAUGCUGAGCAGAAAUCAGGUCUUUCCAAGCAAUGUAAAGCCAGAUGUGAAGCAUCAGCCUUCCUUCAGCAGCCCUCAGUGCAGCUUCUGCAUGCUGACAGCUUUCCCUCUCUCAUCCUCUGUUCAGCUUAGGACAGCAAUUUCUUUUGGUGGUGUAAAGGAGAGCAUAGGGGGUAUUCACAAUGAUCAGGAGCUGCCAGGGAUGAAUUUCUUGUGUGUUCCUUUUACCUAUUGUGCACCUAUUUUAUAGAAACGGAGGACUGCCCCCUGCAGUGCCAGACUGUGGGGUGACACUGUGACGUGGUGGGGACACAGUGGGGCAUUGGCACCCACAGCUGCGUGCCGGAGCAGUGCAGCUGAGAUUGCCCACCGUGCAGCUUCAGCCCUGGGCUGUUCCCGUGCUUCAUGCCUCGGUAUUUUCACUUGCCUGUGUCUGAUGAAAUAUCCACCGGCCGCACCACCUCUUCUCUGCCUGGCUGUCCUUUGCUGGAUAAGGGGAUGGGGUUAAGGUACUGGGAUCUGCUGCUCUGCACGGCCUUUGGUGAGAUGCCUCACCUCCCUGUGCAGACUUCAGCCUCUUUCCCUGUUUAUUCAGCUCCUUCCCAGCAUGGAAAUAGAGGAAAUCGAACCUGUGCGGUAGCAGCGUUACAGUUGCCAGCCGACAUCAUCUUAUCUGAAGCCAAGAGGCAAAACGUAUCUACAAACUCAUUUGUGGGCAGAUCUGUAGAUAUCAGUGCGGAUGUGCAGGAUUGAUCUUGGGCAAGAUUCAUCCCAGCCUCAUCUCUAUAUGAGGGCUGCUGAGUACUCCCACAUACGAAGAACACCCAGAAAGAAGGAAUAAUAAUAAUAAUAAUAAUAAUAAUUUUCCUGGGCACGUUUGGGAUGACAAAAUGCUAACAUGGAAACCUGGACUACAGGACCCCAUCACAGGUUGCUACAGCCACGUGAAUCUGGCCAGAUAGUCUUGCACUGGUGUGCCCACUUUUGGGAAACGUGAUUCCCUCCCAUAUGGAUCCCCACCCCCCAAAAAAUCCUCCCUACUAUUUCCAGGGGAUUGAGAGAAGAAUGAAAUGAUUUAGCAGGCUUGUUUUCACAGGGAUAUUUUUCCUUGUGCGGUAGACACCGUCACCAGGCUGUUCUGUGCGUGCUGCCAUGUGCCAGAGCAUAAUUGCCUUCCACAUGCAUCAGCCUUUGGCUAAUGUGUUUUUUAUGGCAACCAGGAGAGCUGGAUUUGGUGAGUCUCAAAAGCGCACCUGGUGCUUUAUGGCUCGAAAUCACUGCGCUCCUCUGAGUCAUGUAAGUGUGUGUAUCCAUCCCUUUUCAUGUCGGAUUGCUGAAGAACAGUAUGCAAAGAAAAGCUUACACCGAGCCAGAGUUGAUCGGUUGGGUGUUAUGAGCUUGCCUGGUGGGCUUCAGGUCCGUGUGGGAUGGGAUCAGUAAUGAAAAGAGAGCUGCAGACAAAGCUGUUGAGCUCUAAGUCCAAAGCCGAGGUCCUAAGCUCAGAUCCCAGCGCAUAGUAAAGGUGUGUGAACAUCUGAGCUCUGCAGGGAUGGACCGAAGCAUUUGGCAUCAGUGCUCCCCCAAGUGGGAAUUGGGGGCGUUUGGCAUCACCUGGCACCGCCAUUCCCACCCAUCUCCUGGGUGCUGGGAGCUGCUGGGGAGUGGCUGCCACCGUGCCUCGGCAAUAUGGGGCUGGGAAUAACGGCUGUGCUGCAGGGAGCAGCGAAGGUCUGAGCCUUGGCUACGGAAAGGAGAGAAAUAAUAUCAAAGGAAAUCACAUAAGUGGAAAAAGAGCUCCCUGGGGAAGCCCGGGCAGCAGCAGGUCUGUCCUGUCCGUGUUUUGAGAGAAGCUAGAGGUCAGCCAAGCCUGAUAACGAGGUAAUACAGAAAAAAAUCCAUCGCUGAGCCUUGGGGGACGUGGAGAUGCGCUUCACGUCAAAAUAAACGAAUUUGGAUGCUGCCCGGCCGAGGGAACAACAACGAUUAAGUCGUGCAGAACCAACAGCCCGUCCGGGAGGACCCGAAGCCCCGCAGUGCCCACGGCAGCAGGACGGGGAUGCGGGGCCCGAUGCUGCCCUUCCCACGCGGAGUUUAGGAUCGGGGCUUCGCUUCGUUAAAUCCCAUUAUCGGGGGGCGGUCCGGCCGGGACGGGGACUUCUCGCGGCCGCACUGAUGUAUUUGUCUCCCUGCACCCGGCAAAUAGGGGGGGGGGGGGGAAGGCAAGGAACGAGCUUUGCCUCGGAGACGCUGCGGGGAGCCACCUGCCCACGAGGGCUGCGUUAGGGCAGGAGGGACAGGCAGUGAAAGUCCACGAAGAGGAGAAAAUAAACGCUGUUCGGCGCGUUUCGGCUGUUCCUAUUCCCCUAUUGAGACUUAAGGACCGGCCAGCUUUCGGCCCCAGGCGCUUCCGAUAGCACAGUUUAACGUGAGAUGUGAGGGAAUUGGGAUUAAAACAGGAGACGGGAAGGGCCGUCCGUCACGAAAUAUUUGGGAGGGGAGCGCAGAAAACGUUAAUAAUCUACCGAAGGAAAAGAAGCCGUAAGGCAUAAGGCAUCCCUCUCACCGCUGCACGCGUGGGGACCGUGCGACCUUUUGGGGUCGAUCCAUAGGGUCGCUGUUUAGGGAGACUGCAGCCGGCGCAAGGAGCGCCCAUAGGGCCGAUGUGCGGCCGCGUGUGUGUGCCCGGGAUCCCAGCGGCUGCUUCAUACGAGCCCAGGCUUUCCCUUUCCUAAUUUCGGGACGGCUGCGUUUUAGGUACUUU
ensembl:lncRNA